GAGGACUCUAGUCAUACUGCCUUGGGCAACCAGGAGGAAGGUGAGGACGACGUCAAGUCAUUCAUGGCCCUUACGGCCAGGGCUACACACGUGCUACAAUGGGGUAUACAAAGAGCAGCGAUACCGCGAGGUGGAGCAAAUCUCAUAAAAUAUCUCCCAGUUCGGAUUACACUCUGCAACUCGANUGUAUGAAGUUNGAAUCGCUAGUAAUCGUAGAUCAACAAUGCUACGGUGAAUACGUUCCCGGGUCUUGUACUCACCGCCCG
rnacentral:rRNA from 1 species